AUGAUUUAAGGAAAAUUUACGUAGCAUAUAUAUUGAUGUUUUAAAUCAGAGUUUGUUAAUGACACUUAAUCAUUAACAAACAUUUAAAAAGCUUUAUUACAAUACUAAUUGAUAAUAUUAAUGUAAUAAUCUUGUUUUGUAACACCCUAAAUCACUGAGCGCACAAACGCUACCCCUGUUACAAGCAUGAGUGGUUGACUUCAUGCAGACAUGCGCAGACAUUGAAGUACCGCGAGAGUGAUUCAAAAGCCCACGAAACAGUGUAAACACGCGGUACUGUGAUGUCAUACUGGUUAACGCUAAGCCACGUGAAGCCGGACACAAGGGCUACACUAAUCUUUGGGCUGGAGUAGCCUGUGGUUUUUAAGGCUUCGUGUCUCAUCGCGUUAAACGAUUGCAGAACGAUUUAUUUCUCUUUUUCACCUCGAUCUUUGGCCUCGUGUGAUUUACCAAAACCAACAUGUGAAGUUACAACGCUGACGAAGGAGUUUCAUCAGUAGAGUGUGUCCUGGUAAACGUGUGCUCGGAAACAUGCAGAUUACAGUAUUUACAGAGCCGACCUUGAGGCACCCACUGAUGGAUAAUCUGUUUACCUAAAAACAGCCCACCACAAUCCAUGUUUACCAGCUGUGAAAGUGCAGGCCAAAAAUCUUCCUUCACCUGUGGGCCUCUACCCACAUGUAGCUAAGCACUUCAGGAGAAACCUGCCUGUGAUCUGCUAAGAUGCAAAGAUUCAACUCUGGCCCAUUGUCAUCCCAACACCUCAUCUGCCAUCAGUUUCAUUUAGUGUCCGUAUAUUGCAAAAGUUCUUAUAAACUUUAAAUGAGACUUUGUGUUAAGCAGGGGUUUCCAAACUUUUCAUUCCACAACAUAUUAAGCCCAGGAUACACAGCAGGAUUUUUGCAAUCCAAUAAGACCUUAUCACACUGUAUGACAAGGAUUGUUUAAACUUCAGCAGUAGACUGUCGAUGAAGACACCUAUUG